UAUUCAACGAGAGACUGGGCCAACGGAAGGGCGCAGGUGGCCGCAGGCACGCGCAUCGACGAGAAGCCGCACCCGACGGGUUGUUCUCAGGAGACAGGUCAGUGUGUGUAGAGAGAACACAUUUGACCAGGUGGAGUCAGGCUUCUACUUCAUCGCCCUGGACCACUACACCAACGAGGAAGAGGACCUCAAGUUUGGACCAAUGAUGCUGAUGACCCAGUGUAAAAACCUGGAGAUGUUCACUGGUUCUGAGGGAGGUGACGUGGACACCAACAGUGUCUGGGGUACCUUCCAACGCUACCUCUGUCUGGACAACAGCCAGAGGGUGGUCAAGACAUCUGCCGCAUCUUUAGUGUGUCAGCUUUGCUGCACCUGGGAACUAAAGGUUACAGCACCACAGUCCCAACAGUAUGCAGCACCUGGGAACUAAAGGUUACAGCACCACAGUCCCAACAGUAUGC
rnacentral:lncRNA from 1 species